GAUGAAGAACGUAGCGAAAUGCGAUAAGUAAUGUGAAUUGCAGAAUUCAGUGAAUCAUCGAAUCUUUGAACGCACCUUGCGCCCUUUGGCCAUUCCGAAGGGCAUGCCUGUUUGAGUAUCAUGAACACCUCAACUCUCAUGGCUUGCCAUGAUGAGCUUGGACUUUGGGGGUCUUGCUGGCCUGCGGUCAGCUCCUCUCAAAUGAAUUAGCUUUCCAGUGUUUGGUUGGCAUCACAGGUGUGAUAACUAUCUACGCUUGUGGUUUCCACCAGGUAACCUUCAGUAACAUGGGGGUUUGCUGGAGCUCAUAAAUGUCUCUCCUCAGUGGGGACAGCUCUUUGAACAUUUGAUCUCAAAUCAGGUAGGACUACCCGCUGAACUUAAGCAUAUCAAUAAGCGGAGGGA
rnacentral:misc_RNA from 1 species